rnacentral:rRNA from 1 species
CCCACGUGGCGGACGGGUGAGUAACGCGUGGGUAACCGUGCCCUGUACAGGGGGACGAACAGCCGGAAACGGCUGCUAAUACCGCAUAAGCCCGCGGCGCCGCAUGGCGCUGCGGGGAAAACUCCGGUGGUACAGGAUGGGCCCGCGUCUGAUUAGCUAGUUGGCGGGGUAACGGCCCACCAAGGCAGCGAUCAGUAGCCGGCUUGAGAGAGUGGACGGCCACAUUGGGACUGAGACACGGCCCAGACUCCUACGGAAGGCAGCAG